rnacentral:lncRNA from 1 species
AGUGACACAAAGCCUAUUAUCAACAAAGUUGCUUCUGUGGCAGAAAAUAAAGGACUGUUUGAAGAGGCAGCAAAGCUGUAUGACCUUGCCAAGAAUGCUGACAAGGUACUGGAGCUGAUGAACAAACUGCUGAGCCCUGUCGUCCCCCAGAUCAGUGCCCCGCAAUCCAACAAGGAGAGGCUGAAGAACAUGGCACUCUCCAUUGCCGAACGGUAUAGGGCUCAAGGAAUAAGCGCAAAUAAAUUUGUGGACUCCACGUUCUAUCUUCUUUUGGACUUGAUCACCUUUUUUGACGAGUAUCAUAGUGGUCAUAUUGAUAGAGCUUUUGAUGUAAGUUUCAGGAAAGGUGUUUGAAGUGCAGGUUAAUGUACACCCUCGAAAAUUCAAAACACUUCAUGGAAUUUACUUAAAACAAAGGAGCUGUUGCCAGUAUGUUUGUUGUAUAAAGAAAGACAAGUACAAUCCUGGGACUUAAAA